rfam:Gluconobacter oxydans H24, complete genome.
AUAAACGAAGGCAAUGGACUCUGCCUGGCCAUCGUGGCCGAACCGCCCCCAGGGCUGAUGACUCCUACCUCGCC